CGAGCGGCGGACGGGUGAGGAACACAUCGGAAUCUACCCUGUCGUGGGGGACAACGUAGGGAAACUUACGCUAAUACCGCAUACGACCUUUGGGUGAAAGCGGGGACCCGCAAGGGCCCCGCGCGAUUGGAUGAGCCGAUGUCCGAUUAGCUAGUUGGCGGGGUAAUGGCCCACCAAGGCGACGAUCGGUAGCUGGUCUGAGAGGACGACCAGCCACACUGGAACUGAGACACGGUCCAG
rnacentral:rRNA from 1 species